rnacentral:rRNA from 1 species
CUGGUGCUUGCACUAGAAAAACUUAGCGGCGAACGGGUGAGUAACACGUAAAGAACCUGCCUCAUAGACGGGGACAACUAUUGGAAACGAUAGCUAAUACCGGAUAACAGCAUAAAUCGCAUGAUAUAUGUUUAAAAGUUGGUUUCGGCUAACACUAUGAGAUGGCUUUGCGGUGCAUUAGCUAGUUGGUGGGGUAAAGGCCUACCAAGGCGACGAUGCAUAGCCGACCUGAGAGGGUGAUCGGCCACACUGGGACUGAGACACGGCCCAGACUCCUACGGGAGGCAGCAGUAGGGAAUCUUCCGCAAUGGGCGAAAGCCUGACGGAGCAACGCCGCGUGAGUGAAGAAGGAUUUCGGUUCGUAAAGCUCUGUUGUUAGGGAAGAAUGAUUGUAUAGUAACUAUAUACAGUAGAGACGGUACCUAACCAGAAAGCCACGGCUAACUACGUGCCAGCAGCCGCGGUAAUACGUAGGUGGCAAGCGUUGUCCGGAAUUAUUGGGCGUAAAGCGCGCGCAGGUGGUUUAAUAAGUCUGAUGUGAAAGCCCACGGCUCAACCGUGGAGGGUCAUUGGAAACUGUUAAACUUGAGUGCAGGAGAGAAAAGUGGAAUUCCUAGUGUAGCGGUGAAAUGCGUAGAGAUUAGGAGGAACACCAGU